CUUUUUAAUCUAAAAAGCUUUUUGCAGCUCAUCUAAUUUUUCCCUUGAAACAGGCAGCUGGCUUUUUACACUGGGCCUACAGUUGGCGGUCUACUAAAUGCUACUUUUGGAAAUGCAACAGAACUCAUCAUAUCAAUUUUUGCACUGAAAAAUCAAAUGAUACGUGUUGUUCAGCUAUCCUUGCUAGGCUCAAUUCUGUCGAACAUGUUGCUGGUGCUUGGUUGUGCAUUCUUCUGUGGUGGGCUUGUUUUCAACAAAAAGGAACAGACUUUUAACAAGGCAGCUGCUGGUGUCAACUCAGGAUUGUUGUUAAUGGCUGUCAUGGGCCUUCUUUUUCCUGUUCUUCUCAACUACACCCACAGCGAAGCCCAUUUUGGGAAGUCGGAAUUGGCACUUUCUAGAUUCAGCAGUUGCAUUAUGCUUCUGGCUUAUGCUGCUUAUCUUUUCUUUCAGUUAAAAAGUCAGAGGAAUAAUUAUUCUUCCGUUUAUGAGG